rnacentral:rRNA from 1 species
AAAAAAUUUGGCGGUAUUUUAGUCUAUUCAGAGGAACCUGUUCUAUAAUCGAUAAUCCACGAUGGACCUUACUUAAUUUUGUAUUCAGUUUAUAUACCGUCGUUAUUAAAAUAUUUUAUAAGAAUGUUAAUUUUUGCAAUUUUUUUAAUAAAAUAUAUCAGAUCAAGGUGUAGCUAAUAUUUAAGUAGAAAUGGGUUACAAUAAAAUUAUUUAUACGAAUAUAAAUUUGAAAUUUUUAUUGAAGGUGGAUUUGAUAGUAAAAUUAUAAAGAUUAAUAAUUUGAUUUUAGCUCUAAAAUAUGCACACAUCGCCCGUCGCUCUUAUUAUUAAGGUAAGAUAAGUCGUAACAUAGUAGAUGUACUGGAAAGUGUAUCUAGAAUGCAAUUUAAAGCUUAUUUAGUAAAGUAUUUCAUUUACAUUGAAAAGAUUUUUGUGCAAAUCAAUAUAAAUUGAUUAGAUUUUAUUUAUUAAAUAAUUUUUUUUUAUUUAAAUUAUUAAAAAUAAUUAUAUAAUUAAUAGUUUUAGUAUUUAAUAAAUAAAAAAUAAUUUUAAUAAUAGUUUAAUAGUAUUGUGAAAGAAAAUUGAAAUAAUUUGAAAAAUUUUUGAUUUAAAAGAAAAUUUAAU